rnacentral:rRNA from 1 species
UACGUAGGGGGCGAGCGUUGUCCGGAAUCAUUGGGCGUAAAGAGCUCGUAGGCGGCUUGUCGCGUCGUCCGUGAAAACCUGCGGCUCAACUGCAGGCUGGCGGUCGAUACGGGCAGGCUGGAGUUCGGUAGGGGAGACUGGAAUUCCUGGUGUAGCGGUGAAAUGCGCAGAUAUCAGGAGGAACACCGGUGGCGAAGGCGGGUCUCUGGGCCGAUACUGACGCUGAGGAGCGAAAGCGUGGGGAGCGAACAGG